rnacentral:lncRNA from 10 species
GCGUUUUCUGAUUAAGAGCAACCAGAUUCAGCUUUUUAAACUACAAUUAUACUGGCCAAACAAAAUACCCUUAUACAAAAACCAAAACUACUGGCAGGAGUCGCUGCCAGCUUGCGACCCGGCAUACUUGGCUGAGUAUCCGCUUCUCCCUUGUGGCUCCAAACUGCUGCAGAUUCUCGGCCACUUCAGACGCGCGCGAUGGCGAAGAGGGUCCUGCACUUUGACGCGCCUGGUGAGGGAGCGCUGCUCUUCGCAGCGCUCCUGGUGAUGCUCCCCAAAUUUCGGGGACCGGCAAGCGAUUAAAUCUUGGAGUUGCUCAGCGCCCGUUACCGAGUACUUUUUAUUUACACCAGAAACAAAGUUGUUGCUCUGGGAUGUUCUCUCCUGGGCGACUUGGGGCCCAGCGCAGUCCAGUUGUGUGGGGAAAUGGGGAGAUGUAAAUGGGCUUGGGGAGCUGGAGAUCGCCGCCGGGUACCCGGGUGAGGGGCGGGGCUGGCCGCACGGGAGAGCCCCUCCUCCGCUCCGGCCCCGCCCCGCAUGGCCCCGCCUCCGCGCUCUAGAGUUUCGGCACCAGCUCCCACCCUGCACUGAGUCCCGGGACCCCGGGAGAGCGGUCAAUGUGUGGUCGCUGCGUUUCCUCUGCCUGCGCCGGGCAUCACUUGCGCGCCGCAGAAAGUCCGUCUGGCAGCCUGGAUAUCCUCUCCUACCGGCACCCGCAGACGCCCCUGCAGCCGCGGUCGGCGCCCGGGCUCCCUAGCCCUGUGCGCUCAACUGUCCUGCGCUGCGGGGUGCCGCGAGUUCCACCUCCGCGCCUCCUUCUCUAGACAGGCGCUGGGAGAAAGAACCGGCUCCCGAGUUCUGGGCAUUUCGCCCGGCUCGAGGUGCAGGAUGCAGAGCAAGGUGCUGCUGGCCGUCGCCCUGUGGCUCUGCGUGGAGACCCGGGCCGCCUCUGUGGGUAAGGAGCCCACUCUGGAGGAGGAAGGCAGACAGGUCGGGUGAGGGCGGAGAGGACCUGAAAGCCAGAUCUAACUCGGAAUCGUAGAGCUGGAGAGUUGGACAGGACUUGACAUUUUGCGAUCUUUCAUUUACCAGUGGGGAAACUGAGGCUCAGAGACUGGCCCAAGAUUACCCAGCGAGUCUGUGGUCGCCUGUGCUCUAGCCCAGUUCCUUUUCUAGGACUCUGGUUUGCGACAGGGACCUCGGCUGGAGCAUGUCCUGAGAUGCCGACACACCCUCAGGCUCUUGGGAGGCUGGGGUGGGAAGGCGCCUGGGGUUGGCAGGCAGGAGGUGCCUCCGCAGGCGAGAACAGGCGGUGAAAAGUUGUCUGGCUGCGCGCAACAUCCUAGUCCGGGCCCGGGGAAGAAAACCUUGCCGGAAUCUCAGGCCGGGUCUCCCGGAUCGGACGGUACACUCGGUUCUGCCUCUUUGCGGGACCCGGCCCGUUGUUGUCUUCAUGCUCGAACACACUUGCACACCACUGUGUGAAGUGGGGUCUGGAGCGGAGAGAAACUUUUUUUCCUUCCUUGGUGCAGGACGCCGCUCUCCUUGCAGAGCGAAGAAGGGGGGGAAUAGGGACUUGUCCUGGGGGCUUUGACAGCUUCCCCAAGGGUCUCCAAGUAACAGCCAACUGUCCUGCGUAAAGCAUUGCACAUCUUUCAAAGCGCUGUGGUCCUUGGUGUAAGCGCAUAGUCAGAAGUUCAAGCUCCGAAAACCUUUCCUGUGGGCCUUGGUACCUAGCUUUAGUGCCAUUCCUUCCUCUCCCUGCCGCCUAAAAUUUCCGUCUCCUUCAAUUAGGAACACACACGUUCUUCAUGCAAUAGCUGUCUGUCUUUUCUUCCUCACUUUCCUUUCUCUCUCAACCCCUUAGAUAAUAUUUCUUUCCUGCAGCCAGUUUGCUGAUAUCCAGAUUUCCACCCUUUGCAGGGUGAGAAAGGGGAAAGGGUCAGAGAAAGAAAAAAAAAAAGUCGAAUAAUUCAGGGAAAAAAAUUUCUUACUCCCUAAGACAAGAAUCACAUGUCUUAGAAGACACUCACACCCACAUACAGUACCAGGAUCAUCUGUCCAUGGUUACUGAAUUUUCUUUAUAAUGACUUGGUUCAACGGGUCCAGUCCACCAUGGACACUCAUUUGUCCCAGACAAGCCCUCUCUCUCCCCCUUUCUGGGCAGAGAAUGAAGGUCUGGAACAUGUGGUUGCUCUGUAUUCCACAAAGAAGUGAGUUGCUUUUAAGCCUGGGGUGUUUCCUAGCGUAGUAGUAACGGCAGGCCGGUCGCCCUGAAUAUAAUGGUGAACUUGCCCUUUUGGAGUGCAUUACUUGCUUAAUUGGAUUGGGCUGUAAUUGGUGCCAUCAAAUUCUAGAGACAGAGGCACUGUUGUUUUUCCUUCCCGUCUUUGAGCUGGAAGGGUAACAGUGCACAAAUUAAUUAAUAUUGGUUAUGGGAUUUGAACAUAGAAGGGCUUUUUAUUGAGUAGUAGCAUGUGUACCUCUUACAGUUAUUUCUUUAGAACUUUCUGAAGAGUCCAGCUCAAGCUUGCCAAUGAAAACGAAUGACAUUUAAUGGAGCAAAAACAAAAAACAAAAAACUAUGUUGGUCUACAAAUAUGAAUUUGAAGUUAUUGAGAGCCUUGUUGAAUAGAUUUUUGUUGUAAACGUGUCUCUAGAAUAGUAUGGCAUAGUCUCAGCUUCCUAUGAAUGAAGGACAUACCUUUUCUUUUUUAAAAUAUUUGUUACACAGGAAAGUGUGUCUAGAAUGUGAUCUGUGGCAAUAAAUUAUGAGAGACCUUCAAGAGUUUCUGAUUUUGGUAGCCGAGUGGGCACAGUUUAUUGAGAAUCAUUUUUACUGCCAUUUGUUUUCUCACAAGAAUGUGCCCAAAUAAUGGUUUUUUUCUCAUUUGGAUGGCAGUGUGAAUUGUACAUCAUGUUUUCAGCAUCUUUCUCAACCUAGUGUUCCCCAGUCAAGUUUGAAAUCUGUGUUAUCCAAAUGAAUUGUUUUCAUUUUCCUUUUCUUAGACAAAGUGGGACUCCAGGUUUCAUUUUGCUUUUAAACAUUUUGGUUUUUUGUUUGCCUGUUUUGGGGGCAGUUAUUUCUUUCAUAUUAAAAAGUACUGUGCAGGCUGGGUGCAGUGGCUCAUUCCUGUAAUCCCAGCACUUAGGGAAGCAGAGGCAGGAGGAUCGCUUGAGUCCAGGAGUUCAAGAAGUGCCUGGGCAACAUAGCGAGACCCCAUUCUCUAUUUAAAACAUAAAUGUAACCCCCGUUCCACGCACAAAGUACUGUGCAAAUUAAUUAAACAUGACCACCCAGACCAGCAACUGUCCAAGAGUGGCCCAUAGACCAUCUGUGGUAGGAUAAUUUGAAAUGCUUGUUAAAAUGCAGAUUUGUAGACCCAGGGAUAUUCUGACAGAGUCUAAAGUCUUAAGAACAAAACUGUUCUAAACAUAAGUCAGUACCAAUGCCAGUUAAUUUCUGAGAUAUAUUGAUAUAACUUAGUUUCCAGUUUUUUAAAAACCAUAUUAUUGAC